rnacentral:misc_RNA from 1 species
GGGCACUGAGAUGGAGCAGGAUUUUGUUGCUGACACUUUUAGUGUUCGUGAGGAUUUUAAGAAGAAAAAAGCUGAAAAAGGUGAUGGGGGUCAACCAGAUUAUGCAGUAGGGAAAAUAGGAGUUGAAUAUGAAGUGAAAGUCCUUUCCUCAAUGAUACAAAGGGUGAUUUAGCCUCAGUUAGAAAUCGAAGAUAAAAAAUAGCAAUAUUGGAGAUUCAAGCUGCACAACCCACAGUUUGCAAAUCUGAAAUUUCUUGGAGCCAUGGGGAUGGAUUGAGCUCACUAAUUCAAAAGGACCAUGAUUGUGAGUUCUAUUCUUGUGAGUUCCUAAUUUCCAUAGAG